CAGUAGCCGCGGUAAUACGUAGGUGGCAAGCGUUGUCCGGAAUUAUUGGGCGUAAAGGGCUCGCAGGCGGUUUCUUAAGUCUGAUGUGAAAGCCCCCGGCUCAACCGGGGAGGGUCAUUGGAAACUGGGAAACUUGAGUGCAGAAAAGGAGAGUGGAAUUCCACGUGUAGCGGUGAAAUGCGUAGAGAUGUGGGGGAACACCAGUGGCGAAGGCGACUCUCUGGUCUGUAACUGACGCUGAGGAGCGAAAGCGUGGGGAGCGAACAGGAUUAGAUACCCCUGUAGUCCCUGUCUCUUAUAA
rnacentral:rRNA from 1 species